UGCUCACCCCACAGAGGGCCAGACUGCUUCUGCUGUCUCCAGAGCACGAGGGCCACUGUUCCCUGGAGGAGAAGUGGUUCAGCACCAACUACAGCACGGAGGACCUCACUGAGGAGUGGCCUCAACCCUGACCUCCACCUGCCUACUGAAAACAAGUUCAUUGACACAGAUGUCCCGGUGCGGAUAGUGAACAACGAGAGAGGCUGUCUCUGGUUCAAGGUGUGGUGAGCUUGCCUACGAGGCUGACAUGGCCCAGCUGGAGUACAAACUGAUCGCCGGGGAUCAUGGCCUGGUCAUCAGGGUCAAGGGCUUCAACCACAAGCUGCCUGGUCAUCAGGGUCAAGGGCUUCAACCACAAGCUGCCUGGUCAUCAGGGUCAAGGGCUUCAACCACAAGCUGCCUGGUCAUCAGGGUCAAGGGCUUCAACCACAAGCCCCCUGUGAGUCUCACACAUGCACAAUACGUACAGAGCCACGCAGUAUGAACACACAUAAUGUUAGUGAUGGCGGGGGGAUCGAUAAAGUUACAUAUUGCAAUAUUAUUUUGGAUGAUAUUGUAUUGAUACUUUGAGACUAACCUGUACCCCCGCACAUUGACUCAGUACAGGUACCGCCAGUA